rnacentral:misc_RNA from 1 species
UAGGUGGCGUCGCUCACUGCC